ACUGCACACUAUGUGUGAAACUUGGACUUAUAUUGGUUCUUUUAUCGUCUCUGGCAUUUCAUCCUUCCGAAUCAGUGAGUAUGGCUAGGAAAAUGGUGAUAGGUUCAAGGCCACCAGGUUGCGUAAACAAGUGCAUGAGUUGCCAGCCAUGCAAGGCAACUCUAAUCAUUUCACCAAGCCAGAAGAACAAGGGCCAUUACAAUACAGAUCCAUCUAAAAGACAAUCUGAUGAUAUCUAUUAUCUCCUAGCUUGGAAAUGCAGAUGCAGAGAUCAGCUCUUUCAACCUUGAUAUGGUCCUCCACCCGUCCAAGUUCAGUAGUAAAUUUUCCUAGGGACAUAAUUGAAUUAGUAGUGACUAGUGUCAACUAUAUAUGCAUCAUCAACAUCAGAAACAUAUUAGAAAUAUAUGCUAGAGAGUUGAGGGAUUAACUGUGUUUUAGUAUAUAAACUAAACACUGAUUUUGUAUUAGAUGCUCAAAUAUAUACUUGUAUGCUUGCGGGCAAGAGUUGAUGGC